rnacentral:rRNA from 1 species
UACGAAGGGAGCUAGCGUUGUUCGGAAUCACUGGGCGUAAAGCGCACGUAGGCGGACGUGUCAGUCAGGGGUGAAAUCCCGGAGCUCAACUUCGGAACUGCCUUUGAUACAGCACGUCUUUGAGUCCGGAAGAGGUGGGUGGAAUUCCUAGUGUAGAGGUGAAAUUCGUAGAUAUCAGGAGGAACACUGCGGUGUAGACAGCAUGCUGGACCAUUUCUGACGCUGAGGCACGAAAGCGUGGGUAGCAAACAGG